UCAAAUACCUUUCGCAGGCCCUUCCGAAAGUCCGAUUGAGCUCAAAUUUGGCAGGAAUGUUCGUUUUUACUUAAUAAGUCCACUAAAAUUUUAACAUUUCAGUUUCGACCCCAUUUGGUCACUGCGAACUGUCCCGAACUGUACGACCCCAUUUGGUCACUGCGAACUGUCCCGAACUGUAAUCUUUAUCCGAUAACUUCCAGAUGCUAUUUCUCUCUCUACAGGUGUCAGAAAAAUCUGAAACUUUAAAUCUAGCCUCAUAAAAAUGUUCCUGACAUCUCUGCCAAUUUUCAUAAUUUUCUGACACUAUGUAUUUUCUGCUAAUUUUCUCAGUCCCGUUCCUUACAAAAAAUUCUAAAUUUUUCGUUUUCGCUCCGAUUUCACCCAAACACUUCCAAAAUACACCAAGGGACCUUCCCAAGCUACCAAUUUAAUUUGGAAGCAAUUCCUUUUCAUUUUGACAUUAUUUGAGCCGAAUUAGAAAUAGAAUCGGCUCCAAUUCCAUUACAUGGCCUUUUUGCACUACCACUUCGCACUGAGCUCUUCAAAACCUUGUGAAAACACACCCUUGGCUUUACCAAAACUUCACAAUUGAUUCGGAGAUACCACAAUUUAUCCU
rnacentral:lncRNA from 1 species